GGAUAUUUCUUCCUAAGAAAAAAUGACCCAGAUGCUAUGACUGGAUUUAAAAAAUUAGCAAUCAGUGCGGUAAUUGAUGGCCUGAGCAAAGUUAACCAAAUAUUCAGUUACCUGAGAGUUUCUAGGCACAGACCACCCAUGAGACCUUGCCGCAGUGCUGUGAAUUCUAGGUGUGAAGUGAUUUGGAAAACCUCUGUAGGAAGAAAAUAAUCAAAAUUCGAGGGAAAGUUAAGGAUAAGCCUCACUAGGCUGUAUUAGAGUGAGUAUUAGGCUUUCGUUCAUGUGGGAUCAUUUCCUAUCCCAGCUCAGCUCCAAAAAUAGCAACAUCUUUGCUAAGUAAAACUGGUAUAUUUUGACUAUAUGCUGAUGACUGUGGAGGAAUAAUCAGUUUUGUAAAUCAAAGAUUUUGUUCAUAGUAAAGCGUUUGUGCAACAACUAUUUUUUAGAGACAUCUAUGCAUUAGAAACAAACAGGCUUUUUCACAGUCCAUUUUAUUUGGGUUAGCAAGUGUACUGAAUUUAAGAAUGAGGUGACAGAUUUUGUGUGUGUUACUUUCAAUAGUUUCAAGUUGAUCAAAUCCACUUCAGAAUGUUCCUCAGUUUAUGCAGAAUCACUUCAAAUAAGUGUAAGUAAAACGUGUUCAUUUUAUCACUGGAUCAGUUUAUUAGGUUUUAAAACUGCAUUUCCGCUGUACCAUCAACAGCAGUAAGGGAAAAAAGGGAGGAGCAGUGACAGAAAAUCUAUGUGACAAAGUAAAUAGUCUCUUUGCACAUGUGUGUGUGUGUGUAUGUAUAUAUAUAUAUAUAUAUGGGGGGGUUAUAUGGCUAAAGUAAUGGUGCUGGCACUGAUGGAACAGACACGUUUUAGCAUUAUAAUGACAAAUUAUAAAAGAUGACACACUUUAAAAAAAGAUGAUGUUUAUUGGAGACUUGAUUAUUUCCUACCUUCAGCAAAUGGAAAAUUGACUGAGACGGGAGAAUCCAGCAAGUGAGGAUCCAAAUUGAAACACUAAGUCAUGUCUACAUGCUCCAGAGAGGAAACUUCUGAGAGUGCCAAAUCCAGCGGGCCUCCGUAUGAUUGACAAGGAUACCAUCACCACCAAAGAAGUGCAAAACCUGGCAGGAUCACUCAGCAGAGGUGCUCGGAGAGACCCAGAGAGUCAAUGAUACUAGAUUUUGCACCACCUGCAAGUAGAAGGCACGAGAGCAUGGUGAGGACUGUAGGACUUGUGGUGGCUCUGGACAAAAGCAAUGGCCUGUUAUUCACAUGAUCAACAUACUCAGCACAACUCAGAGAGCUCCUUUUGCUCCUGCUGCGCGGGCAGAAGUUGCAGUCGCAGUGCUCAUCGCUGCCCUUAGCAAACCGCUGGGGUUUCCCCUGAAAAAUACAGAUUCUGGUCGGUGUUUAGCAAAUUUCUGUCAGUCUUGGUGAACUGUUAGAGCUGAUAAAUCCUGGUGUGUGGGGAGGUGGAAAAAGUGAAAACGUUUCAUUUCGUUAUUUUCAAAACAUUGCUUUGAUUGAUCAAGUCAGAAAGACCUUCUGUUCUGAAGAAGUUUAAUUUCUUAGAUUAACAAAUAUUAACACUUUUGCACAAGCUCAAGUUAAUGGAACAUUUCACCUGAUAUUAAUCUUCCACUUUUCAGUUCAGCAAACCCUAGAUGUUUUUUUCAACCAGCCAUAAGCUAUUUAUUCUUUGAAAAGCAAGCGCAGAGAGGAGUGCCCAGCUUUGCUGGUGCUUGCCUUGGAGCUGCUGCCAGCGCUGUGCACGCUGUCCCGAGGAGCUGUUGUUUCCCUCUGUGAUAUUCUAAGCAGAAAAAAGAGCCAGAUUCGUGUGACAGGGACAUUCCCAAUUAUAUAACCCAGUUCCUAGUUGUUAUUUACAGGUGCUGAUACCACUAGGGGAAAAUGUGGCUCCUUUUUCAAGUGUGUUGUUAUUUACAGAACAUGUGUCUCAAACAUUAAAAAAUGCCAUAUGUGAUGCUGAAUAUAGAGUCCCUCUCCCUCCGCCCAAGAAUAUAACUUUAUCAAAAUGCAAUUUCCUGCUCAUUUGAGCCAGUCUCCAUAGCAACAGUACUGUACACCUGUGAUGUACAGGCAUAAGCCAUUACAUCCCCAGAACUAGCCAGAACGAGCCUUGCCCCAGCCCCUCCCAAAGGGGCAGGUACCUUUGCAAUAUAACCAUAGCAUGUAUUUUUAUAUGUUACAUAUGGGUGGUCUGUA